rnacentral:snRNA from 13 species
AGCUUUGUGCAGUGGCAGUAUUAUAGCCAAUGAGGUUAAUCUGAGGUGUGAUUAUUGCUGAUUGGAAUAAAAAGUGGGUUUCACUAUACAAUGAUUUAAUCAGAACCCUUCUUGAUAUAAAAAGUAGACAGAAAUCAAUCCAUCUCAAAACUGUUUUUUCUUAAGCAGGAAGUGAUAAUGGUGGGAAUUUAUGUCUUCUGUAACUGGG